rnacentral:sRNA from 1 species
CUUUCUUCAAAAUUCCUCUUUUACAC